CCAGACUCCUACGGGAGGCAGCAGUGGGGAAUAUUGGGCAAUGGGCGCAAGCCUGACCCAGCAACGCCGCGUGAAGGAAGAAGGCUUUCGGGUUGUAAACUUCUUUUGUCAGGGACGAAGCAAGUGACGGUACCUGACGAAUAAGCCACGGCUAACUACGUGCCGGCAGCCGCGGUAAUACGUAGGGGGCAAGCGUUAUCCGGAUUUACUGGGUGUAAAGGGCGUGUAGGCGGGACUGCAAGUCAGAUGUGAAAACCACGGGCUCAACCUGUGGCCUACAUUUGAAACUGUAGUUCUUGAGUACUGGAGAGGCAGACGGAAUUCCUAGUGUAGCGGUGAAAUGCGUAGAUAUUAGGAGGAACACCAGUGGCGAAGGCGGUCUGCUGGACAGCAACUGACGCUGAGGCGCGAAAGCGUGGGGAGCAAACAGGAUUAGAUACCCCGGUAAAC
rnacentral:rRNA from 1 species